rnacentral:rRNA from 1 species
UCUUCCUGCAUUUCAGAUUGAAUAACGCAGCGAAAUGCGAUAAGUAAUGUGAAUUGCAGAAUUCAUUGAAUCAUCGAAUCUUUGAACGCACCUUGCGCCCUUUGGUAUUCCGAGGGGCAUGCCUGUUGAGUGUCAUUAAAUACCAUCAACCCUCUUUUGACUUCGGUCUCGAGAGUGGCUUGGAAGUGGAGGUCUGCUGGAGCCUAACGGAGCCAGCUCCUCUUAAAUGUAUUAGCGGAUUUCCCUUGCGGGAUCGCGUCUCCGAUGUGAUAAUUUCUACGUCGUUGACCAUCUCGGGGCUGACCUAGUCAGUUUCAAUAGGAGUCUGCUUCUAACCGUCUCUUGACCGAGACUAGCGACUUGUGCGCUAACUUUUGACUUGACCUCAAAUCAGGUAGGACUACCCGCUGAACUUAAGCAUAUCAAUAAGCGGAGGA